UACAGAGGUCUCAACCGUUGUUCGGAUUCAUUGGGCGUAAAGGGUGCGUAGGCGGCGGGGUAAGUCAGGUGUGAAAUCUCGGGGCUCAACCCCGAAACUGCACUUGAUACUGCCUCGCUUGAGUACUGGAGAGGAGACUGGAAUUUACGGUGUAGCAGUGAAAUGCGUAGAUAUCGUAAGGAAGACCAGUGGCGAAGGCGAGUCUCUGGACAGUUCCUGACGCUGAGGCACGAAGGCCAGGGGAGCAAACGGG
rnacentral:rRNA from 1 species